CGGACCGGAGUCAGUGUAGGGUCAGUCAGCUGGUGGCGUUAGUGUUGCUCUAGUGUGUGUAGUGGCAGACCUCGCUCCUCCAGGAUUCUCAAGUUCACGCGAAUAAGGAUGGAUUCCGUUGAGGGGAACAUAAAGUUGCUUCUUCAGGGGAAAGAUGUGGAAGAGUCACAGGAGUUCUGCGAUUUCACUCUUGAUAUGCAGAAUGAGGUGACAGCGGCAAAGGGCGUGGCACCGUCAACUCCAUCUGACUACACACCGACACUGCGGGACAAUGUGUGUUACAUCGUGGCGGCGGUGCUGGUCAACGACGAGGGUCAUGUCCUUAUGAUGCAGGAAGCUAAGAGCUCCUGUGCCGGCAAGUGGUACCUUCCUGCCGGGCGUAUGGAAGCUGGAGAGACAAUUGUGGAAGCUGCCAAGAGAGAAGUCUUAGAGGAGACAGGCCUUGAAACAGACAUCACAACCUUGUUAAUGGUGGAAUCUGCAUCAGGGUCAUGGUUCAGAUUUGUUGUUACUGGUACUGUGGUAGGUGGAACUCUCAAGACUCCUGCCUCUGCAGACAAGGAGUCAUUGCAGGCCAAGUGGGUUGAGGAUCUCUCAGAAUUAAGUCUGAGAGGCAACGACAUUUACCCACUGAUCCGACGGGCCAAGCAGUAUUGGGCCAAGGAAGAAGAGCCAUGGCAUCCUGCUCUCCAGCCUAUCAAUAAACCCCAUACAAGACUCCUUCUCAGACUGGUCAUUGCUAUCAGAAAGAAAGCUAACAACCGACUGUGUAUCCUGACCAGUGACAAAACAGCAACUCACCUCCCUGUAACAGAAAUAAACCCUGUGAGGUCCCUCCACUCUACUCUGAGGAAGUACAUGACUGAAAUUUUUGGUUCAGACCUGCCGCCUCACAGACCACAAGGUGUUAUGAAUGUAGAGCUAAAAACUAGUUCUCCAAGCGGUGACCACGAUGGAAUGUGUCUUACGCUACUUGUUCCAAUUCGUAAAGCACUAGAGGAUGUACCCCUCAUUGACAAAUAUUCGUGGGUUGAAGUACCCAAACCUCUCGGGGAGGAUCUGCUGAACCGCAUGGGCAAGAACAUGACUGUGCCUUUGAAUGUCAUACGAGUGUCUACACUUAUCAAUUGAGUUUGGUGCUGCUCUCCCCUCAUCACCAGUUGCUGACGAUCCCAAAGUCCGUUUGCGCUACUGGGAAUCAUGUGCUUAAGUAGAAGUCAAGUAAGGGAGUUGUGAGUGAGUAAGGGAGACAGGUGCAGGUGAUGAGCAACUCUUCAACACCACCUGUCAGGGCACUCUGUACAUACACUUUUGACAGUUGGUUUGGUGGUGCAGGUUUGUCACUUUAUAUACAUAGAGGGACUGUUAUGGGUGCCAGGUUCAUGCAGUCAACUUUGUGGUGCAGGUUUUGUAAUAUAUAUAUAUAUAUAUAU
rnacentral:misc_RNA from 1 species